rnacentral:rRNA from 1 species
CCUACGGGAGGCAGCAGUGGGGAGUAUUGCACAAUGGGGGAAACCCUGAUGCAGCGACGUCGCGUGAGUGAUGAAGUAUUUCGGUAUGUAAAGCUCUAUCAGCAGGGAAGAAAAUGACGGUACCUGACUAAGAAGCCCCGGCCAACUACGUGCCAGAAGCCGCGGUAAUACGUAGGGGGCAAGCGUUAACCGGAUUUACUGGGUGUAAAGGGAGCGUAGACGGCGGUGCAAGCCAGAUGUGAAAGCCCGGGGCUCAACCCCGGGACUGCAUUUGGAACUGGGCUGCUAGAGUGUCGGAGAGGCAGGCGGAAUUCCUGGUGUAGCGGUGAAAUGCGUAGAUAUUAGGAGGAACACCAGUGGCGAAGGCGGCCUGCUGGACGAUGACUGACGUUGAGGCUCGAAAGCGUGGGGAGCAAACAGGAUUAGAUACCCGUGUAGUC